rnacentral:rRNA from 1 species
GAUGAACGCUGGCGGCGUGCUUAACACAUGCAAGUCGAACGGACUUUUGAUGAAGCCUAGCGAUUCAAAAGUUAGCGGCGGACGGGUGAGUAACGCGUGAGUAACCUGCCCAUUAGUGGGGAAUAACACAGAGAAAUUUGUGCUAAUACCGCAUACUGAAUAUUUAAGGCAUCUUGAAUAUUUGAAAGAUUUAUCGCUAAUGGAUGGACUCGCGUCUGAUUAGAUAGUUGGUGAGGUAACGGCUCACCAAGUCGACGAUCAGUAGCCGAACUGAGAGGUUGAUCGGCCACAUUGGGACUGAGACACGGCCCAGACUCCUACGGGAGGCAGCAGUGGGGGAUAUUGCGCAAUGGGGGAAACCCUGACGCAGCAACGCCGCGUGCAGGAUGACGGCCUUCGGUU